rnacentral:lncRNA from 1 species
AAUAAUUUAUUAAAUCCUAUCAAGUUAAAUCUAAUCUAAAUAUAGAGAUAAUAUAUAAUAAUAUAGAGAUAAUGAUUUCAAUACAACUAGCGCCAUCUAUGAGAGAACAUUGGAACUAAUGGAAGUAGGUCAAGUCAAUAACCUAACCUAUAAUCCGGUCAACGACCACUUAUCCCUGACCUCGGCAAAGACCUCGACUAAUGACCCCCGGUAUCAAUGACCUUGACCAAUAAAACCGAUCAAUGACCCCGUGUCAAUGACCCGGUAUGAAUGACCUUGACCAAUAAACCAAUCAAUGACCCCGAUCAAUGACCCCAUGUCCUUGACUCGGUAUCAAUGACUCCGUAUCAAUACCCUCUCUACCAGUGACCCUUUUUGAUUAUUGACCCUUCCGGUUAUUGACCCUUCCGAUUAUUGACCUGAUUAAAUAACCUAGAACAACACUAACCCUAGCUAAAUUACCUACCGUGGUCAAUAGUAACCCUAUUUAAAUUACCCGCGUAUCACAACCGCGAUCAACAACACUUUUACACUAAUAAACUAAACAUACAAAAACAAGCAAAUAAAAAAAAAAAAAAUUAAAAUCCAUAUCUAAUUUUUAAUCCCUAAUAUAUAAAAAAUACGCUAAAAAAACAAAACAAUUAAAUAAUGCAUAUCAACGCACUCUAACGGUGAACAACGGAACUAAUAAUUUGUCCGUCGAUAUGAGACUCUAUGCGAAGUCUAUCUAAUAAAAUGUCAAACUAAUACUCUUACUCGUCACCAGAUGGCAGUCAAAAUAAAGCUUCUAUACACGAACCGAUUAAUAUCGAUUUUAGUUUAGAUCGAUCGAUUUUGUUAAUUAUUUUAUUAUAAAAGUAAGAUAAACCUACAUCAAAACAUCACAAAUUACAUACUAUAGCCAUAGAUAAAUUGUAUCUAUGAAAAUACUAAAUAAACACGCUUAUUUAAUAAAAAAAUGUUUGCCUUUGUCAAACUAUGAACUUAAAACAAGGCUGUAUGUAAGAUGAUCCUUGUCUACGUACUUAGAUGAACCAAAAACAAACAAAUUUAAUGUCAAAUUGACAACUGGAGAGAACCAUCUGUUGUAAUACGAUUAUUUCGUCGUGAUUAUUAAAGAAAUCAUCGUAAAUAAGAAGAUUCUACCUAGUAAAAACAUAUAAAAGAUGACACAAGUUACGCGCAUGUUUCUACAUAACCUACAGCUUCGGAAUGAUAAUAUAGCCCUGCCUAACUAUGCAAGAAUGAAACCCUACAAUGCUAGCAAGUCAAACUGCCUAUCGUCCUACAGCCCUAGCCCUAGCCAUACCUACACAGAAAUUAUAUAAAUAGAUACAUAGGGCGGGAUACCUGCACCAUGAGACCUAAGGCAACAGGCGGAUAGUGGAAGGAGAAGGUGUAGGAAGGAUUUUCUUACUGCCAAUCACACAGACUCAUGUGACCGUGGUUAGGCUAAAGGUGUCUUGGCCACAGUAAGAGGAUACUGAAAGUGACACAUAGAACAAUAUAAACAUGCACAGUGAGAUAAAACAAAAAUAACAUGGACAUACACAGUGAAAUUAAAGUGAAAUAAUAAUAAACAAAAACAAGCAGAAUAUGACAACUGUACUUAUUAUAAUAUGAAAUAACAUUAGAAUAUUGAUGAUAA